ACGCAUGUUGAGGACAUUUCCACAAGAGCUCCUAAAACCUAUCUUAUGUCUCAAAAAAAGACUCUAAUUCCGUCUGCACAAAAGAAGAUAUCUCAUUCCUAAGCUU